GAAUGACUUAACUGUUUAGAAAAAGAAAGUCUUGUUUUACAUGAAUAAUACAUACACUCUAAUAUAAACUUAAGGUUUUGAGAAUGCAAUUAAAAAUAGGCUACUUUAAUGUAACAAUGAGUAAAACAUUAGCUAAUUUCUCCAAAAAGUCACUGUAAAGUGAGACAGAUAAAUUCAUUAAAUUGUUACAGUUAACCAAAAGCUGCUGUAAUACUGCUCAUUUCACGUAUAAGUCUAAAAUUAAAUAAACUGAGUGGCCUGAUAUGCUAAGUCACUGCUUAUUUCACUCUCAAACAUUUUUCUCACUCACAUAUUCAUUCAAAAUAUACUGAGUGAGCCCCAUCCUGUGUGCCAUCCUGUGAGCUAUGAUGGUAAACAAGAACAAUGCCUGUCUAUGACUUAAGAGGUACUGGAGGAGUGAGUUUUAACAACUAAACAGGCACUCUCAGUAGUCCCAGAGGCUGAGAAUAGUCAAGGGAGCACUGAGCAGGUCACCUAUCAUAGCCCAGGAGAGCAUGAAGAAUGGGUUCUGGGUAAGCUUGCUGGAGGAGGAGACCUGUAACUUGAAGGAAGAGCAGAAGUUAGCCUGGUGAAGAGAAGGGUGGACCAAACAUGUAAAUGCCCAGGGAAGCGGCAGACCCGCUUUCUAAGUUUAUGCAGAAACUGAAGCGCUGGCAAGUCCUCCCUGCGGCCUCAGGGGUGUGGCCCACUGUGGCUGCAUCCGGACAGGAAGAGUCGAAUCCCAAAGAUGCUGCUAGAUGUGCCGAGAGAUUCCUGAUCCAGCCAAAACAUGUCAGAGCAGAAUGAGGGCCACGGCGUCGGGCAUGGUGACCCUCAGUAACAGUCCGAGCGCUCGGACCCGAGGGCCGUCCCAUGCGCAAUCCUGACGGCUCUUGCCUGCAGCCCAGGUCGGGCCGGAGGAGGGGCCGCUCCCCGCUCCCCGGCUGUAACAGACAAAAGGCUCAGGGAGGGUAUCAGGGGACCCGGUGCUGACCCGGCAGAGGCAGGGUGAACAAGCCCGGGGUCAAGCGAAGCCGCACGACGGCCCUGACGGCCCGAGACGUGCCACGCCUGGGUCCCGACACUCCACUUACG
rnacentral:lncRNA from 1 species